rnacentral:rRNA from 1 species
GUGGGGAAUAUUGGGCAAUGGGGGCAACCCUGACCCAGCAACGCCGCGUGAGGGAAGAAGGUUUUCGGAUUGUAAACCUCUGUCCUAUGGGAAGAAGGAAGUGACGGUACCAUAGGAGGAAGCCCCGGCUAACUACGUGCCAGCAGCCGCGGUAAUACGUAGGGGGCGAGCGUUGUCCGGAAUUACUGGGAGUAAAGGGUGCGCAGGUGGCCUGACAAGUCAGAUGUGAAAUACCGAUGCUUAACGUCGGGGCUGCAUUUGAAACUAUGAGGCUGGAGUUCAGGAGAGGGAAGCGGAAUUCCUAGUGUAGCGGUGAAAUGCAUAGAUAUUAGGAGGAACACCAGUGGCGAAGGCGGCUUUCUGGACUGUAACUGACACUGAGGCACGAAAGCGUGGGGAGCAAACAGGAUUAGAAACCCGAGUAGUCC